rnacentral:rRNA from 1 species
AAUCAACGCUGGCGGCGUGCCUAACACAUGCAAGUCGAACGAGAAAGGGGCUUCGGCCCUGAGUAAAGUGGCGCACGGGUGAGUAACACGUGACUAACCUACCCUUGAGUGGGGGAUAACCUAGGGAAACCUGGGCUAAUACCGCAUAACACCUACGGGUCAAAGGAGCAAUUCGCUUAAGGAGGGGGUCGCGGCAGAUUAGCUAGUUGGUAGGGUAAUGGCCUACCAAGGCGAUGAUCUGUAUCCGGCCUGAGAGGGCGCACGGACACACUGGAACUGAAACACGGUCCAGACUCCUACGGGAGGCAGCAGUGGGGAAUUUUGCGCAAUGGGGGAAACCCUGACGCAGCAACGCCGCGUGGAGGAUGAAGUAUCUUGGUACGUAAACUCCUUUCGACCGGGACGAUAAUGACGGUACCGGAAGAAGAAGCCCCGGCUAACUUCGUGCCAGCAGCCGCCGUAAAAC